rnacentral:rRNA from 1 species
UACGUAGGGUGCAAGCGUUAAUCGGAAUGACUGGGCGUAAAGGGCGCGUAGGCGGCUCGCCAAGUCAGGGGUGAAAUCCUUCGGCUCAACCGGAGAACAGCUUCUGAUACUGGCGAGCUGGAGGGAGGUAGGGGCAGAUGGAACUUCCGGUGGAGCGGUGAAAUGCGUAGAUAUGUGGAGGAACACCGAUGGCGAAGGCAGCCCCCUGGGUCAAGACUGACGCUCAUGCACGAAAGCGUGGGGAGCAAACAGG